GAGAUGACAUACUUCUCUGUCUUGAAGAUGGAAGGAACUGUGAAUGUACUGGCUGAUAGAAUUGGUAUCUAAAAAGAUCUUGACAGUUUAGAAUGAUGGGCCAUGUGUAGUAAUGAGCUUCCUUUCACUUUAAGUCUUCCAGCAGAGCCUGGAAGAUAAUUUUUAUAGGGUGGUAACUAAAAGUCCUUUUGGGUAUAGAUCUGUGUUACAGGAGUCAGCCUUGCCAAAGAAGAUGAAAUGGGAGAAUGACAAGACAAAUGAUUUGUAAUCAGAAGAAUCAUCAGAAGCCAACCUGUACAACCCUCUCAUCUUACUGAUGAGGAAACUGAGACCCAGGGAGGCUAAUUAAAUUGACCACAAUCACACAGAACAAAGAAAAAAGAAAACAACAACAAUCCCAUCCUUGAAGGAGUGAAUAACCUUACUUAGGAGAUGAGACUAAAAUACAGAAAUAUAUAUUUAUCUAUGUAUGUACACAUAUGUGAAUAAAUAUAUACAUUUGCAAUUGAGGAUCAUAUACAGGUAUACAUAUAUGCUAUUCAAUUCAAUAAGGAUUCAUUAAGCAUGUAUUACCCUCAAAGCCAUUUCAUAUUUUUAACUGUUACAAGGAUUGUCAAGCUUAAAGAAAUGAUCUUCUUGUGGCCAGCCUGCUGGUGAUGAAGAACUUCUCUAAAUUGAGGUAAGCAGGUCCUGGGAAAGCAGACACUGUUUGCUUGCUAUUAUGAGUCCUGACCUUGGUUGUUUUUCAGCAUGGUGGAGAGAGCCCAGCCA